UACGGGGGGGGGCAAGCGUUGUUCGGAAUUACUGGGCGUAAAGGGCUCGUAGGCGGCCAACUAAGUCAGACGUGAAAUCCCUCGGCUUAACCGGGGAACUGCGUCUGAUACUGGAUGGCUUGAGUUUGGGAGAGGGAUGCGGAAUUCCAGGUGUAGCGGUGAAAUGCGUAGAUAUCUGGAGGAACACCGGUGGCGAAGGCGGCAUCCUGGACCAACACGGACGCUGAGUGAGCGAAAGCCAGGGGAGCAAACGGG
rnacentral:rRNA from 1 species